AACGAACGCUGGCGGCGUGGAUAAGACAUGCAAGUCGAACGGGACUAAAUCUGUAGCAAUACAGGUUUAGUUUAGUGGCGAACGGGUGCGUAACACGUGGGCAAUCUGCCGAGAAGUGGGGGAUAGCUCGCCGAAAGGCGAAUUAAUACCGCAUAUGAUCAGCUAAGACAUCUUAGCGACAUCAAAGCCGGGGUAACCUGGCGCUUCUUGAUGAGCCCGCGGCCUAUCAGCUAGUUGGUGAGGUAACGGCUCACCAAGGCUAUGACGGGUAGCUGGUCUGAGAGGACGACCAGUCACACUGGAACUGAGACACGGUCCAGACACCUACGGGUGGCAGCAGUCGAGAAUUUUCUCAAUGGGGAAACCCUGAAGGAGCGACGCCGCGUGGAGGAUGAAGGCUUUCGGGUU
rnacentral:rRNA from 1 species